AGAAUGAACGCUGGCGGCGUGCUUUACACAUGCAAGUCGAGCGAGGCGGCCCGCAAGGGCCAGUCGAGCGGCGAACGGGUGAGUAACGCGUGGAUGACCUGCCCUGAGGUGGGGAAUAACCCGGGGAAACUCGGGCUAAUACCGCAUAUGACCGCGAGGUCAAAGAGGGGUCGCAAGAUCUCUUGCCACAGGAGGGGUCCGCGUUCGAUUAGCUAGUUGGUAGGGUAAUGGCCUACCAAGGCGACGAUCGAUAGCCGGCCUGAGAGGGUGAUCGGCCACACUGGAACUGAGACACGGUCCAGACUCCUACGGGAGGCAGCAGUGGGAAUUUGCGCAAUGGGCUAACGCCUGACGCAGCAACGCCGCGUGGAGGAUGAAGGUCCUUGGAUUAGUAAACUCCUGUCGAGACGGGAAAAGGACGUCGGACCUAAGUACGUCGGGACUUAAGUGUACCCGCAGAGGAACGCCCCGGACUAACUC
rnacentral:rRNA from 1 species